rnacentral:rRNA from 1 species
UACGUAGGGGGCAAGCGUUGUCCGGAUUUAUUGGGCGUAAAGAGCGUGUAGGCGGCUUUACAGGUCCGUUGUGAAAACUCGAGGCUCAACCUCGAGACGCCGGUGGAAACCGUAAAGCUAGAGUCCGGAAGAGGAGAGUGGAAUUCCUGGUGUAGCGGUGAAAUGCGCAGAUAAUCAGGAGGAACACCAAUGGCGAAGGCAGCUCGCUGGGACGGUACUGACGCUGAGACGCGAAAGCGUGGGGAGCAAACAGG